rnacentral:rRNA from 1 species
UAGGGAAUAUUGCGCAAUGGGCGAAAGCCUGACGCAGCGACACCGCGUGAAGGACGAAGCCCCUUGGGGUGUAAACUUCUGUCAGUAGGGAAGAUAAUGACGGUACCUACAAAGGAAGCAUCGGCUAACUACGUGCCAGCAGCCGCGGUAAGACGUAGGAUGCGAGCGUUGUCCGGAUUUAUUGGGCGUAAAGAGUUCGUAGGCGGCUAUUCAAGUCUGGUGUUAAAGGCUUAGGCUCAACCUGGGUAUGGCACUGGAAACUGAGUGGCUAGAGUGUGGUAGAGGUAGUGGGAAUUCCCGGUGUAGCGGUGAAAUGCAUAGAUAUCGGGAGGAACGCCAGUGACGAAAGUGCGCUACUGGGCCAUAACUGACGCUGAGGAACGAAAGCUAGGGGAGCGAAAGGG